UACGGAGGGUGCAAGCGUUAAUCGGAAUUACUGGGCGUAAAGCGCACGCAGGUGGCUGAGUCAGUCGAUUGUGAAAGCCCUGGGCUUAACCUGGGAAUUGCAGUCGAUACUACUCAGCUAGAGUAUGGGAGAGGGCAGUGGAAUUCCUGGUGUAGCGGUGAAAUGCGCAGAUAUCAGGAGGAACACCGGUGGCGAAGGCGGGUCUCUGGGCCGUAACUGACGCUGAGGAGCGAAAGCAUGGGUAGCAAACAGG
rnacentral:rRNA from 1 species